AACGCAACUUGCGCCCCUUGGCAUUCCGAGGGGCACGCCUGUUUGAGUGUCGUGAAUUCCUCCACCUUUUGGCUCUUGCGGUCGAAAGGCUGGGAUUUGGGGGUUUCUUGCGGGUCUGGAUUUCAGGUCGGCUCCCCUUGAAUGCAUGAGUGAAGACCCUCGCGGCCUCGGCGUGAUAGACAUCUACGCCUCGGAAGCGGUGGUGGGACUUUGCUUCCAACCGUCUUGGGACGAUCCAUCUCGACUUGACCUCAAAUCAGGCGGGACUACCCGCUGAACUUAA
rnacentral:misc_RNA from 1 species